GGGUUCAAAUCCAUCGGAGACAAAAAUACUAGGUGAUUUCUUCCUAUUUGUCAUUGCUUUGGUGGGUAGAGGCAGGUAUCUCAUGGAAAUUAGUUGAGGUGUUGAUUCAGACACCACAGUUAUCCCCAAAAAAAUAAAAUGAUAGGGUUUUGUUUUCCCUUGCAUCAUAAACUGGAGGUUAUAGUUAGUUGGUCAUGUUGGAUUUUUGGAGCUUCUGGCAGUUGCUUAUUAUGUACUGGAGGACCCUUCC
rnacentral:misc_RNA from 1 species